CACCGUUCCUUUUCGUUUUUGGUGAGGAAGGUGCUCGAAGGCUCUUCCAUUUUCUUCCGUCGCUUUUUCCUUUCUUUCCUCUCUGUGCUUUUCUCCCCGUGUCAACCCUUCGUGUUUCCCUGCUUCUCUCGCCGUGUCGAUCGUCGAUCGUGUGUUGUGUGAAGAGUUUCUUUUUCCGGCUGAUUGUACUGUUUCAGGAAAAUUGGUGUGUGAAUUUUAGGGGUUUUUUGUACAACCUUGCAAACCCCUGAUUAAGGUGGCGGUGUUUGCUUGGUUUUGUGCUCUGGUCUUAGAAAUUGAAUAGUUUUUUUUUUUUGGUGGUUUCGUGCUAUCUUGAACUCCAAGUGGAAAGCCCGGGGAACAGGAAAUGGACAAUCACAAUUAUUAUUGGUUUUUAUAUUUAAUAUUUAACUCAGUUUAAUUAAUUAAAUUUUUUUCAUCAAUUAAUUUGAAUUAUGUGGUGAAAUAAUCAUAUAUAAUUAAGUUUAUUAGGUUGCUUUUUUUCUUUUUUUUUUUGGGUGUGUUUUAGCAUGUGGAUCGGAUUUCAAGUAUUUUUUAGGGUGGGUAAAAAGGUUGAUAUAGUUUAUUUGUUGCAGAGGAUAUGAAGAAGUGGAAAGGUACCUGGUGGAAUGCGAGUUUUGAUGCUUAAGACAAAGAAUGUUGUUUGGAAGCAUGACUAUGUCUGCAAGAGAUUUACUGAGGAUCCAGAUUGUAUCAUGUUCUGAAUGAGCUUGAAAGAGGAGUUGCUCUUCAUCUGACAAUUGCAUUGCAUAAUAGGUUUUGUUAAUCUACCCGUGGUGGAACCCAGCUGUUGAGAGGCAACCAUAAGAUAGAAUCCACCGGAUAGGGCAGUACAAACUGAUCAGAAUUAUGAGAUUGGUUUGGAAUUUGAUUAUUUCAAUUUGUUUUUCUGGAUUAUAUUUCAAGGACAAGGUGUGGAUUAGAUAGCAGGAUCUGGUUGGAAGACAAGAUUUUGUGAAAGAAAGGAUUUGUGUUCGUGCAAGUGAUUUCAGACAGAUUUCAAGCUGGGGUGUAGAGAUUUGAUUCAAAUUGGUGGAUUUGGGUUCUUUUUAAAGUUUGGCACUAAAUUGCUUUUCUUUUCUUGGGUGCAAGGAAAAUGAAGGAAGGGAAGGAAUUAAAUUCUGGAUUUAUCAAACACUUUGUAGAUAUUCCAUGCAUUUUUGCAGCUGGAAUCUUUUGGAAAUGGAGAGCAAUCUGUCUCAAUUUUGGAAUGUACUGGAAUCAAAGAAGCUAACUCAAGAUGCUAUUUCAAAGCUGGAGGAGGCAUUGUUGAUUAAUCCUAGGAAAUAUGAUGCUCUGUGGUGCUGGUAAAUGCUCCGGACCAGAAUGAGGCAAAGGUUCCAAAAGGUGUUAUACUGCUUCCAGAAGGCUUUCAACGGGGUACUUCCACUUACAAAUUUGUUAUUCUUGGAAUUUGUAAUCCCGCAGCAACGCGCGGGCAUUACUAGCUAGUUUGAACUAAUCACGUUACUUGACUAGAA